UAUAUACUCCCUCCGUCCGAAAAUACUCGUCAUCAAAAUGAAUAAAAGAGAUGUAUUUAAAACUAAAAUACAUUUAGAUAUAUCCAUUUUUAUCCCUUUUGAUGACAAGUAUUUCCGGAUAGAGGAAGUCAUAU
rfam:Triticum aestivum genome assembly, contig: Triticum_aestivum_CS42_TGACv1_scaffold_577726_7BL